CCUGGCUUAAGACAGUUUUAAUCCAAUUAAGAUGUUGGGUUCAGUGGAGCUGAGUAAUUCUUGUGGGUAAGCUUUGGAUAAUUGUGGUCUUUCUGUUGAAAUGAUGACGUCAAUUGAGGUAAAGCUCAUUUGUACAUGAAAACGGGAAGAGUUGUUGGAAUCAUCACACAAUCUUUGAAGUCUUCACUUGUCACAUGCACACUGUGAUAAUAACUUAUGUUACUUUCAUUGGCUGUGUUGCAAUUAAGAUUCUGGAUCUCCCAGACUUUUCUUGACUUCAAGUAGCCUUACUCCAUAUAAGUGGGGGCCGCUCGGUGUCAGCUUCACAUCGUGAAUGGAUUUAGGGCGGAUGAAUGCAGAAUGAGUGCUAAUGCACUGGCACCGCAGCUCGUUCGCCAUCUUUACCAGGGUCCUACCUAUGAGCACAGAAGGAAGAUUGCAUUUGAGGUAAGUCUUGAACUUAAAGUGAUGGAAUUGGAGAGGAAGGAAAAAAUGACUUCCGGAGAACACUUGUGCAGCCUUAUGCAAAUUUUUACACUUCAUGCCCAACAUUUCAAGAUGGAACAUUGUGCUGCAUAGUAUAAGGAGAGAACAAGCAGGCUGGAGACAGAAGAACAGUAAUGCAAGCAACAGGUGCCUCGUGUCUUUCAGGCUGUGAAUAUGUCUCCCAGCGACACUUAUCUACAAAAGGUAGAGCUCCAGUAUUUCACUUCUGCAAUUUUGCUGUUCCCUAACCUCAAGCAGACGUGCCAGCAUCACUCACUUACAAGUGAAUCAUGUGUUGUGGGGACAUCCAAACGCCAUUACCAUGUCACUUUACUUGGAGAGAGGAAUUUUGUAAUGAGUUCCAGAAAUACAAUA